rnacentral:rRNA from 1 species
UGCCAGCAGCCGCGGUAAUACGGAGGGGGUUAGCGUUGUUCGGAAUUACUGGGCGUAAAGCGUACGUAGGCGGAUCAGAAAGUAAGGGGUGAAAUCCCACGGCUCAACCGUGGAACUGCCUCUUAAACUCCUGGUCUUGAGUUCGAGAGAGGUGAGUGGAACUCCGAGUGUAGAGGUGAAAUUCGUAGAUAUUCGGAAGAACACCAGUGGCGAAGGCGGCUCACUGGCUCGAUACUGACGCUGAGGUACGAAAGUGUGGGGAGCAAACAGGAUUAGAUA